GUGGGGAAUUUUGGACAAUGGGCGCAAGCCUGAUCCAGCAAUGCCGCGUGCAGGAAGAAGGCCUUCGGGUUGUAAACUGCUUUUGUACGGAACGAAACGGUCCUGGUUAAUACCUGGGGCUAAUGACGGUACCGUAAGAAUAAGCACCGGCUAACUACGUGCCAGCAGCCGCGGUAAUACGUAGGGUGCGAGCGUUAAUCGGAAUUACUGGGCGUAAAGCGUGCGCAGGCGGUGCUGUAAGACAGGCGUGAAAUCCCCGGGCUCAACCUGGGAAUUGCGCUUGUGACUGCAGUGCUGGAGUACGGCAGAGGGGGAUGGAAUUCCGCGUGUAGCAGUGAAAUGCGUAGAUAUGCGGAGGAACACCGAUGGCGAAGGCAGUCCCCUGGGCCUGCACUGACGCUCAUGCACGAAAGCGUGGGGAGCAAACAGGAUUAGAAACCCGGGUAGUCC
rnacentral:rRNA from 1 species